rnacentral:lncRNA from 1 species
AAGCACUAAAAAGACCUCUAAGAACAUUCAGGCGGCAGAUAUCCUAAAAUAGCACGGUUCCACUAAAAUUCCUGGACAUCUUUGAGUUGUUCCUUAGUUAAAACAAUCCUUGCGUCUCAGAAAUGAAGAUGAGCUAAGCUUAGUUGGUAUUCAAGCAUUCGGGAGUCAACUUGGUGUGGAUUUUGAUGGUUAUUUUCCAUUGAUAUACUGCCGGCUCUAAUUUUGGGUUUCAAGUUGGUCUUCCUUAUUCUUUUCUGGGAUUAUUUGUGUUUGCUGGACACAAUUUCCUGCUUUUGCUCCAUGCCACUCACUUACUCUUUGUUUUGGGUUUUGUUUUUGAACUUCAGGUACAGGUUCUGGACCCCCCCUGAUGUAGCUCAAACUGUAAAUAAAAUAAGAGUUGUGCAUGUUUCUUUAUGUGUUGAUUCAUGUUCAUUUGGUUCAUUUAUUAGCAAAGUUCAAUUCUGUAAUUAACUAUUGACAGCUAAACAAUAUUAUGUUUUACUCAUUCAUUUUCUUAGCUCCAGUGGUAUGGAUUAGCUUUGUAAGUUAGAUUAGUUAAGUGCAAACUUGAGUUUAGGAUUUGUCGAGCUUAUUAAAUGUCCAUUGUGUGUCUAGCUUUAUCGUUGCAAAGUGUGAUAUCCUAUUGCAGAAAUGUAUUAUUUCGAGCUUUCAUGAACAUAAGAAUAAUCCCG